rnacentral:rRNA from 1 species
UACGUAGGGUGCGAGCGUUGUCCGGAAUUAUUGGGCGUAAAGAGCUCGUAGGCGGUGUGUCACGUCGUCCGUGAAAACCUGCGGCUCAACUGCAGGCUGGCGGUCGAUACGGGCAGGCUGGAGUUCGGUAGGGGAGACUGGAAUUCCUGGUGUAGCGGUGAAAUGCGUAGAUAUCUGGAGGAAUACCGGUGGCGAAGGCGGCAUCCUGGACCGACAUUGACGCUGAACGGCGAAAGCUAGGGGAGCAAACGGG